rnacentral:rRNA from 1 species
AUUGAACGCUGGCGGCGUGCCUAACACAUGCAAGUCGAGCGGUAACAGGUGUAGCAAUACAUGCUGACGAGCGGCGAACGGGUGAGUAAUGCUUUGGAAUCUUCCCAGUAGUGGGGAAUAACCAGUCGAAAGAUUGGCUAAUACCGCAUACGUCUGUAAAGGGAAAGCGGGGGCUCGUAAGACCUCGCGCUAUUGGAUGAGCCAAAGUCGGAUUAGCUAGUUGGUGGGGUAAUGGCCUACCAAGGCGACAAUCCGUAGCUGGUCUGAGAGGACGACCAGCCACACCGGAACUGAGACACGGUCCGGACUCCUACGGGAGGCAGCAGUGGGGAAUAUUGGACAAUGGGGGAAACCCUGAUCCAGCGACGCCGCGUGUGUGAAGAAGGCCUGCGGGUUGUAAAGCACUUUUAGUGGGGACAAAAAGCUACGGACUAAUAUUCUGUGGUCUUGAUUUAACCCAAAGAAAAAGCACCGGCUAACUCUGUGCCAGCAGCCGCGGUAAUACAGAGGGUGCGAGCGUUAAUCGGAAUUACUGGGCGUAAAGCGCGCGUAGACGGUUUUGUAAGUCAGAUGUGAAAUCCCUGGGCUCAACCUGGGAACUGCAUUUGAGACUGCAU